UACGGAGGGUGCAAGCGUUGUCCGGAUUUAUUGGGUUUAAAGGGUGCGCAGGUGGGUAUUUAAGUCUGGUUUGAAAGCAGGUGGCUCAACCAUCUGAUGUGGCUGGAAACUGGAUAUCUUGAAUGGGUUGGCGGUAGCCGGAAUGGGUCAUGUAGCGGUGAAAUGCAUAGAUAUCGGGAGGAACACCAGUGGCGAAGGCGACUAUCUGGGCUGCAACUGACGCUGAGGCGCGAAGGCUAGGGUAGCAAACAGG
rnacentral:rRNA from 1 species